CAACUACUCCCUCUGUCCCAAAAUUCAUGUCUUAGAUUUGUCUAGAUACGGAUGUAUCUAAUACUAAAAUGUGACUUGAUACAUCUAUAUCUAGACAAAUCUAAGACAAGAAUUUUGGGACGGAGGGAGUACUUU
rnacentral:pre_miRNA from 1 species